UCUCCGUAGGUGAACCUGCGGAGGGAUCAUUACCAGAGAUGGCGGUCCCCCACGCCCCCGUCCCCAACCCUUUGUUGACCAAACCACUUUUGCCUCGGGCGCCGAGCGGCCUCCGCCGCCCCCGGUGGACCAUUUAACCCUGUCUCUGUACGUCGGAUAAUUUGAUAAAUGAAUACAAAACUUUUAACAACGGAUCUCUUGGUUCUG
rnacentral:misc_RNA from 1 species